UCAUAAUGGAACACGAAGGAG
rnacentral:piRNA from 1 species